UUGGGGGCAGGACACCUUCCUGUCGUGAGUCAGCUGCCGCUUUCUCUGUCUGUGUUCAGGCCGGAAGAACUCCCGCACAAUGCUGCUCCCGCUCCUGCAGAGGUUCCCAGAGCAGGUCCGAGUCUCCCUCUUUCACACGCCGCACCUCCGUGGGCUGCUCCGGCUCCUCAUCCCUGAGCGCUUUAACGAGACCAUCGGCCUCCAGCACAUUAAGGUGUACCUCUUCGACAACAGUGUCAUCUUGAGCGGUGCAAACCUGAGUGACUCCUACUUCACCAACCGCCAGGACCGCUACGUGUUCCUGCAGGACUGUGCGGAGAUUGCCGACUUCUUCACGGAGCUGGUGGACGCGGUGGGGGAUGUGUCCCUGCAGCUGCAGGGGGACGACACGGUGCAGGUGGUGGAUGGGAUGGUGCAUCCUUACAAAGGUGACCGGACCGAGUACUGCAAGGCAGCCAAUAAGAGGGUCAUGGAUGUGAUCAAUUCAGCCAGGACCCGCCAGCAGAUGCUGCAUGCCCAGACCUUCCACAGCAACUCUCUUUUGACCCAGGAAGAUGCAGCAGCUGCUGGGGAUCGCAGACCAGCCCCUGACACCUGGAUUUAUCCGCUGAUUCAGAUGAAGCCCUUCGAAAUUCAAAUCGAUGAGAUUGUCACUGAGACCCUGUUGACUGAGGCGGAGCGUGGGGCAAAGGUCUACCUCACCACUGGCUACUUCAACCUGACCCAGGCCUACAUGGACCUGGUCUUGGGCACUCGGGCUGAGUACCAGAUCCUGCUGGCCUCACCAGAGGUGAAUGGCUUCUUUGGGGCCAAGGGGGUGGCCGGCGCCAUCCCAGCGGCCUAUGUGCACAUCGAGCGACAGUUCUACAGUGAGGUGUGCAGCCUGGGACAGCAGGAGCGGGUCCAGCUUCAGGAGUACUGGCGGAGGGGCUGGACGUUCCAUGCCAAAGGCCUCUGGCUGUACCUGGCAGGGAGCAGCCUGCCCUGUCUCACGCUGAUUGGCUCUCCUAAUUUUGGGUACAGGUCAGUUCACCGGGACCUGGAGGCCCAGAUUGCGAUCGUGACGGAGAACGAGGCCCUGCAGCAGCAGCUUCACCAGGAGCAAGAGCAGCUCUACCUGAGGUCAGGUGUGGUGUCCUCUGCCACCUUCGAACAGCCGAGUCGCCAGGUGAAGCUGUGGGUGAAGAUGGUGACUCCACUGAUCAAGAACUUCUUCUGAGGACAGACAGGUGCUGUCUCUAGCAUCACCUCUCAGCACGGUUUUCCCGAGAGUUCACAGGAAUGGCCUUGAUGAAGAUGACAGGCAUGGCCGGGGUCAGCUCCUUCAGCCGCGCUUCGGCGAUGACUCCAGUCUGGGUGUCCCAGCGAGCCCCUGCAGGGACAGUAUGGCUGAGGGUCAGGUGUGCUGCCAGUAAGUGAGGGAGGGGCUGGCAGGAACGGUAGGGUCCUCACACUCCCCGCCCUUUGCAGAGAUGGGCUCCACCCCAAAAGGCUUCAGGCCAGGUGCCACAGCUGGAAGCAGAGGCCUUCGUAGGUGAUGGCCUGCAUGUUGUAACUACCCCGUCUCGCUGGGCACAAGGAACAGGUCAGCUAAAGCCCUUGGGUUCCAUCCGUUUAAAUCUGUGGCAUUUUCAGAGCCUCAUCUGUCAGCCUUAAUGUCACUGGCAGGAAGUCAUAACUCCAGCUAAAAAUUAGAGUAAAGUUCCCUGAUUCUUCAUGUGUAAUGUCUGCCCUAUGUGUACAUAUACAAUAUAAUUAUAUAUCUAUGCAUAUA
rnacentral:sRNA from 1 species